rnacentral:rRNA from 1 species
UGAACGCUAGCUACAGGCUUAACACAUGCAAGUCGAGGGGCAGCAUGGUCUUAGCUUGCUAAGGCUGAUGGCGACCGGCGCACGGGUGAGUAACACGUAUCCAACCUGCCGUCUACUCUUGGCCAGCCUUCUGAAAGGAAGAUUAAUCCAGGAUGGCAUCAUGAGUUCACAUGUCCGCAUGAUUAAAGGUAUUUUCCGGUAGACGAUGGGGAUGCGUUCCAUUAGAUAGUAGGCGGGGUAACGGCCCACCUAGUCAACGAUGGAUAGGGGUUCUGAGAGGAAGGUCCCCCACAUUGGAACUGAGACACGGUCCAAACUCCUACGGGAGGCAGCAGUGAGGAAUAUUGGUCAAUGGGCGAUGGCCUGAACCAGCCAAGUAGCGUGAAGGAUGACUGCCCUAUGGGUUGUAAACUUCUUUUAUAAAGGAAUAAAGUCGGGUAUGCAUACCCGUUUGCAUGUACUUUAUGAAUAAGGAUCGGCUAACUCCGUGCCAGCAGCCGCGGUAAUACGGAGGAUCCGAGCGUUAUCCGGAUUUAUUGGGUUUAAAGGGAGCGUAGAUGGAUGUUUAAGUCAGUUGUGAAAGUUUGCGGCUCAACCGUAAAAUUGCAGUUGAUACUGGAUGUCUUGAGUGCAGUUGAGGCAGGCGGAAUUCGUGGUGUAGCGGUGAAAUGCUUAGAUAUCACGAAGAACUCCGAUUGCGAAGGCAGCCUGCUAAGCUGCAACUGACAUUGAGGCUCGAAAGUGUGGUAUCAAACAGG